rnacentral:siRNA from 1 species
CGGCUGAGUUACUGUUUGUUUGCC